CAGCAGCUGCCCCAAAUACAGGCGAGCACUCAGAAAGGAAGAGCACAAAACUGACAGAUCACUGACACAUUAAAAUGUCUGAAGACUAAGAGUGAUUUAAUUCAACACUCAUUCAACUCCUAUCAACUACAUCCUCAUCCUCCUGGUACAUUUUAUUUUUAAUCUAUUUUUCUCCCCACGUGCUUUCUGCCGCUCUUCAGGCGUCCCUUCUGUCUCCCAGAGUAUUUUUGUCAUCCUUAAUUGCUUUCUGACUUUGAGACUCUCCCUGCCUGACUACCCUGCUUAGUGUCAGCCAAAGACAUAAAAAUCAUCAGGAGAGCCUGCUAAAAGAGCAGAUCCUUGGGCGUCUUCCCACAGGUCUUUAUUUAGAAAGUCUAGUGCAGAUACUAGAAAUCUGUCUGUUUUAAAUAAGCUUUCUAGAUGAUUACCAGAUGCAUCAAUAUCUGUGAACCACUGGGCAUCUUAUGCCACAGAUCUUGAAAAUGCUUUUAAAGUACACUUUUUAAAAAAUGUCUCAGACUGAGCCCUAUUUUAUGGUCAAACCACACAUCUCCCCUGGACCAGUCCUCAAGACAUCUCAGUUAGUUAUCCACAUCCAACACUGUCUCCUCUUCUCACUUCUGGGACAAAAUACCCAACACCUACAACCUGAAGGAGGAGAGGUUAUUUUUGGCUCAUGGUUUGUAAAGAUUUCAAUUGAUCAUUGGCCGGCUUCAAGGCAGGAAGGGCCCAGCAGAGGAAGGCAGCCCACAUCAUGGUAGCCAGGAAACAGAGAAGGGAGGCACCAGGGAGGGAGACCAGGUGCUGCUGUCACAGCACACGUGGCUGGGGAGCCACCAGCAGGUGCAUCAGCUGCCAGGUGACCGGCUUAUGAUCCAGGCAGCUUCCAAAGCCUCAUCUCUGAGCAUGUGACUUGUCAGAGACACCUAAGCACACAUUUUGGAGCUUUUUUGUGAUUGCCUCUUCUUGCCACGACUUUUAUCCAGAGAAUCCUACCUCAGGACCCAGAAGGACACGUUUAUGUGAAAAUACCUGUGAACUCACAGACCCUUACAAUAACAUAACUAAUUUCUUUGGGCUCCCAUAAUGUGUUGCUUGGGCUUCUACUUGGCUAUAUUUUAGAACACUUCAUUACAUCUGUUAUGUUUAUGUGUCUACCAGCCCUUGUUGUAAGGAGAGGUUGAUAAAGACAAGAACUAAGUUGAAUUCAGUUUAGUAUCAUUCUGCAGCACCACAAUCCCUGACUAAUACAUGCUCUGUGUUUCUUGAGGACCUACAGUGUGACCAGCCAACUUUGUAUUCAGUGAAAAGAUCCACAAGAGAAAUAGAAAACAUGAGCAUUCUCAAAUAGUUUAAAAUGUAAUUGAGUCUUGAGAUGAAUCACAUGAAAUAGUGAAAGAGUCACUGUAAAACAUAAAGUAUGUAAAGCAGAAAGUCCCUAGUAACCGCAGAAAUGAUCCAGAUAUCUGCAUAGUAACCAUACUGUCGUGUUUCUGUAGUGUCAGAUAUAACUAAGCUACUCUACUGGGCUUUGGAGGUGUUCACAGAAGGAUUUCAUAGAAGGUAUUUGAUUAUGAUUUUUUUUACUGGUCCCAGGGAUCAAACUCACUACUGCCUGCUUGCAAGGCAGGCGCUUAUGCUGCUGAGCUAAAUCCCCAGCCCCUAUGAUUAUGAUUUUUUGAAGUGCUGGAUCUUAUGCAUGCUAGGCAUGAGCUACAACCCCAACCCUAGAUUGUGUGUGUGUGUGUGUGUGUGUGUGUGUGUAAUAAAAAAAAAGGUAGCAUUAGUGGUUACCGGGGACUAGAGAAAAAAGAAAGGAAGGAAGGAAAGAAGGAAGGAGUGAUUACUAAUGAAAAAGGGCUCAUUCGGGGGGUGGUGAAAUGUUUCAGAAUUAGAGUUAGUGUUAGUGAUAAUGUUACAGUCUGGUGAAUGCACUAGAUACAACCGAGGUAGUGGGUUUCAGAUUCUCUUGAAGGACGCGUCAGAGUGCAUCCCAGAGUUUCUGCUUCAGAAGGUCUGGAAUGGUUCCAAUGAUUUGUCCCUAGUAGUGACGGGCAUUCUCCUGGUGACCCAAGAGCACAGAAUGGCGUUUGCCAGGGGCCUGAGGGAGAGGGAAAGAAUUAGCAUUCAAUGCAUACUGAGCUUCAGCUUGUCAAGAGGAAACGGUUCUGUGUCUGGGUGGGAGUGAUGGUGGGAACAGUGCAGAUGUAUUUUGUGUUUCUGUCCUCACAAAAAUGGGUACAUGGUAAAUAUUGUGUAAUGUAUACUUUACUGUCAUUAAAAAGUAGGGAGAGGUAUGGAAAGGGAAAAAUAAUCCAUGACUAAAGGUGUUACUCAUGGCGUACACUUCUGAAUCACAGAGGCUCCUAUGGAAACGAAGGACUCUGGGUUUUUAGAGCUGUGAUAGUAGGGAUAUAAUGAGAGAGAGAUAUUUGUGCAGAUGUGAAAAAACUAAAAUAAAGGCCCAGAAAGACUGAUGCUGUUGUUGGCACAGAACCAACAGUACCUGCUGGCAGAUGACUGUCCUACCUACGCUGAGAAGCAGGAAACUCAUUUCUAAGGUCUAUGCUGUAGUUUAGUCUUUAAUCAUUUUUUAAAAAAAGCUGAAAGAGAAACUGAGAAAAUAAGGGGAAAACUCUCCCCUCAAAAUACAUAUAUGCUAGUCAAGAUAGUGAUGCCACUGAUUUCUCUUAAUUCAUUGAAAAUAAAGGUUUGUGCUAAUAUUGUUUGGACAAUUAGGUGCCAACUCUGAGUAACUAAUUUAAAGAGGACAAUACACAAUGUUUUUUUAAAAUUUUAUUUAAAAGGAAAGAAAAAACAAAACAAAGCAAAACAGUAUAAGGGUGCAAGUAAUACAGAAUUACAAAAAAAAACAGUAAGAAAUCCCCAUUUAAUAGAUUAUACAUUAUCAUCUUAGAGAUAGUUGUUCAAGUCACAGGAUUAAAGCAUACAAAGUGGACAUUCAAACAGUGAGACUGCAAACAGUUGAAUACACAAUGUUUUAAUCAUUAUUACUCUCCUAUUUUGUUUUGAAAUUUUGGAUUUUUUUUUCUCUUUAAAGACUUCAAGCCAGGAAUGGUGGCUCGUGUCUGUAAUCCCAGCACUCAGGAGGCUGAGGCAAGAGAAUUGCUGUGAGUUCGAGGCCACCCUGCACUACAACAAAAGUAAGAUUCUGAUAACGAUUCAGUGUACCUGGCCAGUUCCGUGGACUUGGACGAUCAAGUAAGUUUCUUUUUUUUUUUUUUUUUUUAAACCAUACAACCUUUUUAUUGUUAAGUCAUAAAGAGGUAUCAAAAUUAAACAGCAAAAAUUACAGGAUAAGACUUAACAAAACUACUAGGAGCAUCAAAAGAAGUGAAAAUGGUACUAGGCGCAGGGCAAUCAUGAACAUGGGAAGGAUAAAGAUUGGAAGAACAGUGAGUGUGUGCUGAAGAUACUAGGGGAGAAGAUCUGGUGAAAUUCUGAUCUUAGACAAGCGCCUAGGUAAAGAAAUAAUGGGACAAGAUUUCUAAACCCCACUAUGUGCUUAAGAGUCAUCCUCGCCAUUGGCGAUGUCUCUGUCAUCCUCUCCUUCCUCAGCCUCUUUUUCAUCAUCCUUGAUCAACUCCAGCUGGUCAUCUGCCCGAUCUUCAUUUUCAUCAUCAUCCAGUAGAUCCCCCUCCUCAGCAGAGUCAUCAGCAGCACCUUCAGACUCCAUCUUCACAUUAGUCUCAUCUUUCUUCAGGGAGGUGCUGGUCUGCUCCUCUUCGGACUUAUCAUUCUUCAUCUCAACUGCUUGUUUGCUCUGUUCCUUUUCUAUUUUCUCCAGGCUUUCCAGUAAAGAAUCCACUUUUUGUUUUAUCUGGGUCAGCUCCUUCUUAAUGGCCUGAAGAUCAUCUCCUUUCAACUUUCCAGACUUGGAAGAAGAUCCCCGCUGGCCACUCUUAGAAUUGAAGCCACUUUUGCCCCUUCGUGAGGUGUUUCCUGAUACACGCUGGCGUUUUGAGGGCACUACAGCCCGAGCAAUAGGAGGCGGUGGUGGAACACGUGCUGGGUAACUGUACAUCCUGUCAUAAUAAUCACGUUGAAAGUCACAGUCCAAAUCAAAAGAGGAGCUGAGUAGAGGGGACGGAGAAGGGUGUUCUGGUACUGACCCGUACAUCUCCGCUGCAGAUCGUUUCACACCUGCUUUUCCUCUGUCCACUUUUGGCUCUGCAGCCGGAUUAAUAUCUAAAACCUGGCCAGCAAUCAUUCUGCCAUCCUUUCCAGCUACAGCAGCCCGGGCAUUUCUCUCAUUAACAUACUGGACGAAGGCAAAGCCCUUAUGAACAGAGCAACCCACAAUUUUGCCAUACUUCGAGAAGAUCGCCUCCACAUCAGACUUCUUUACCACAAGAGUGUUGAGAUUCCCAAUGAACACACGGGAGUUCAUGGAGCGAGGAUCUGUCUUGUUUGUAACAUUGCUAGCCAUUGUAUUUGAAGAUAAGGUUGCUAACAGUGACAGAAACCAGGAGAGGGGCAAGAGAAGAGAUUCGAUUCCGAAUCUCCUACUCCCAGGUUCUACGUGCAGAAGUCGGCUGCUGCUCGAGGUCGGAAACGCGGACGCAACCACUCGGUCUCCGUCUCUUCACAAAAUCGUCCCUGAUGUGAAGGAACACUGGGACUUUCCACGUGACUGCACGAAAGACACGGGUGAAGCUGGCAGGUCUUGGCUGCAGGUUCCCGCUCCUCAGAGAGACCCCAGGCCGGCCGGUGUCCUGUGGCUCCCCCUCUCCACCAGCCCCCUGCCUCUGGCUUGCCUGUUCUUCACAGUUUUUCCCUGACACUUCCUUCCCAUCUCUUCGAGUUCUUUAUCCUCUUAUUUUCUUGCAUAUUACCCUGCCUUUUAUUUUGUCCUUUCCCAACUAAAAAGUGAGUCAAUUGUUCGAAUCAAUAUUUCACCCAGGAUGCACCUAUGAAUGGCCAAUGGGGAAAUUCAAAUCAAAACCAUCACAAGAGGCUGCUUCACACCCACUCCCGUAGCUGUCCACAGAAGGAAGGAUGAUCAAUAACAAGUGUUGGGGUGGCACAGAGAAGCUGAAGUCCUCUAAGUUGUUGAUGAGAUGUAGAAUGGUACAGCUACUUUAGAGCUUAGGCGUGCAGAUGUGGGGAUUUUAUGGUAAUUACAUGCUUAGCAUUUUGGAGAACAGUUUGAAAGUUCACAUACACGUUUUCUUCAGCCAUUACAAUGUUCAAACAUUUUAAAAGAAAUAGCGUCACCAUAUAAAGCAACUCCACUCCUAGGUAUAAGAUGUUCCACUUGGCCCAGUUACUCUUGGUAAUUGAAUACAUGUGUCCACAGCAAAACACAGGCACAGAUGUUCAUAGUAUCAACACAGUAGCCAAAAAAAAGAAAAAAGGAAACAACCUAAUGUUGAUGAGGUGAUUAAUGCGUAAACAAAUAUGAUGCAUCUGUACAGUGGAAAAUUAUCUAAAAAUACAAAAGUGGAAAAUCCUGAUUCGUGCUGUGAUAUAGAUGAAACUUGGAAACAGUAAGUGAAGGAGCUGGACAUUAUGUGUGAUUUCAACCCAGUGAGCAGCCCAGAAUAGGAAAUUCAUAGAGGCAAAGUGGAAUAGGGUUCUCCAAGCUGGGGGGAAGAAAGGGGGGGAGUAACUACCAAUGAGAAGGGGACUUCUAGUUAGGUGAUUGAAAUAUUCUGAGACUCAAUCAUGGUGAUAAUUUUAGAGCUUGAGGCACUAAAAAACCAUUCAUUGUAAUAAAGUAAGAUUUUGUUUAUUGUCUUUCUGAGAGAGGGUCUCGCCAUGCAAUUCAGGCUGGCCUCGAACUCACUUUGUAUCCCCGCCUGGCCUCAAAUUUGCAGCAAUCUUCCUACCUCAGCCUCCUGAGUGCUGGGAUUACAGGCAUGUGUCUGUAAUGCAUACUCACAGCAAGAUUUUUUUCUUUGAACACACACAGCCACUUAUCUCUCCCCAGAACAUAAACUCCUGCCUCUAGUGUGGAUCCGAAGAUGUCCCCUGAAGGCCCGUGUGCUAAGGGCAAGGCCCACAGAUCCACAGCACUAGUGGAAGUGAAGGAAGCUUUAAGAGGGUGGGCCUAGUGGGACAUCUUCAGGCACUGGGGCAGGGGUGCCUCGGAGGGACUGUGGGGCUCUCCCCUCCUCUCUCUUGUUCUAGGCCCCGAGAUGAGCUGAUUGCUCCAUCACACAUCCCUGCGAUAAUAUGCUGCCUUGUCAGAGGCCCAGAAGCAGCAGGAACCAUUAGUCACAGACCAGGACCCUUACAACUGUCAGCCACACUAAACCUGUCUUCUUUAUAAGUGGAUUAUUUCAACUACUUGUUAUAGUAUCAGAGAGAUGACUGUCUCAGUCACCUUCCUCAUUCACUGGGACAAAACACCUGACUCCCGCAAUCUAAGGGACAGAGAAAGGUCUAUUUUGCCUCUGUUUGGCCCACAGUCUGCAGACUCCAAUACAGAAAUGGCACCAUGUAAGGGUGGAGGAUGCUGCUCCCAUCAUGGCGGCCAGAAAGUAGCCGCCAUGAAGAGAGAAGCUUGGGAAAGGAGACAAACCCUUCCUGGCCAUCCCUCAGUGAGUGACCUGCCUCUUCUGACCAGCCCAUACCCCUCCUCUUUAACAGCAGGUCAGUAUCAUGACCCCAUGGUUCAGCCAGGAGAGGACCCUCAAGAAGAAGGGGAGGACCAGGACUCAAGACAACAGCAGCCAUCCCCAGGGAAGGUGGAGGCAGAAGCUCCACAGACCACAGCCGAAGCUUCUCUGGAGAAAGACAGCCCGAAAGAAAACCCACAGCAAGCAGGCCCUUCCAGGGGAAAUCAGCAGGAACUCCUCCCCUCCUGUUCUCCCUUACUACACUUCUACAUCAAUCUUUCCUAAAUGGGUCUUCCACACCCAAACCAGAUGAUUUAACUUAGCUGGGUGUUGCCACAGAAGCUGACAAUUAGUCGGUUAACCACCACAGCACCCCAACUUCUCGAAUUCAGAUGAGAAACCUGUAAACCUUCAUUCUUUAUGAAUUACUCAGUGUGUGGUGACUGCUAACAACACCAAAAGCAGACUAAGACAUCCACUAGAUGCUAGAACAAUGUCUGGUGUAUAGUAGGUACCCAAAACAGAUUUAUAACUUAAUGAAACAAAGAGGAAGAAAUCCUAUUGUUUAAAAAGAUUUGGAAGAAUGUUUGGUUGGUUGGUUGGUUGGUUAGUUGGUUUGGUUUCUUAAUUCAGUUUGAGCAACAUAGUAUAAUAGAGUUGUGAUUUUAGUAAAAGAAAACUAGAUUCCUUUAAAGGUUAUUUCUUCUAGAUAAGAAGAAAAGUCCUCAGAGCCUUCCUGGAACCAGCCAACCCACUUCCUCCCUUUCUCACGAUGUUAUGUUGCAGUGUCUGGACGGCGACUCUCCGAGAAGCCGUCCUCUGUGGCUCUGCACUCUGCCAUCCUUCUGGGAGUUCCAAGUCUAAAUUCUUUCUAACGUAAUUUAGCAAUAUAUUUUAAAUUUGGACAUUCCAGGUUUCCUCCUAAUUAUAAAAAUUGCUGUAGUUAAUGCCAUAUAGCAGGACAAUUUUUAUUGUAUGCAUAUCUUUGGGGAAAAAAAGACCUCCCAAAACUUUUAUUUUAUUCUAUAACCAUAGGCACUUAGCGGUAGCCCACAGACAUGAUUUUUUUUUUUUUUUUUUUGGCCACUUAAGUGUUCAAACCUUAAAAGGUAUUUAAACGAAGAUGACACAAGUUUUCAGUUUAAUCCAUGUCCCUCUGGUGUUAUUAUACAUAGCCUGUUUCACAAAUUUCAAUCAUUUUUCAGGCUCUUCAUGUUAGUCAUGAAGGUCUAAGUAUGCUGCUGUAACAAUCAAGCCCCCGAUUUCAGUGGCUUACAGCAAGAAAGUGUGUUUCUCGUGCACACUGCACCUCUAUCAGGAGUCAGCAGGGAUUCAGCUUCUGUGUCUGUCUCUUCCACUCUCCAGGAAAUAGGAGAUCAGGGAAGACAGUAGCAGGAGCAGGAUCAUUUUGGAGCCUGGAGUAGAUGGUGCCCCUGGAGGCUUAGUAAGCUUUUGUUGAUGGAUGAAAGUCUCACGUCUGGUAGAGAAGUGUAACUCUCCUAAGGGAAAAUAGUGAAAAGUUAUCUAGUCUAGCUCAGGUUUGGAGAAAUUUAUUAAAUGUAAAAAGUGCAUUUUAUUAAGUUGACAAUAUCAAUACUUUUCUCAUAAGAAAAUUUAGAAAUGGGAAUGUCAGUUUCUCAUCAUUUUUGAACCCAAAUUUCCUGAAGAUUAAUAACACUCAAACUUUGAUUCUCAGUUGAGAACACUCACUCUUAGAUGAAGUCAUGGUCUUUGUUUUAUCUUGGAGGAUGGGAAUUGAAGGUGGCAAAUAGAGGCUUCAAUCUUUGGGGUUGCUUCUUUGUUUGCUUGGUUGCUUAUUUAUUUGUAAAUAAAGGUCCCACAGGUGAUUCUGGCAUUCCACUGCAAUGGAAUGUUAUGAGUGUUACGUGUUAUGUGUUAUGUCCUGUUCCUGUAGCUGUACAGUUUACUCUCUGAGAGUUUCACUCUUUCCCAGAAUAGAGUCAGAGGAACAACCAAAGAUCAAAAUGAAAACACUGGGACCAAACCAAGAACCCAGCUAUGUUCACUAACACACUAGGAGCAUUUUCCAGAUGAAGAGCAAAGGCCAGCACUGGUACCACGGCCUCUCCAGUCCAAAGAAUUCAGAGUUCAAUAAAGAAAAGGACCUCAGGAAAGAACAGAAGAAGCUGUUUGAUGACUGGGUUAGUGAGGCAUCUGCCUUGGUAUCAUGGAGUCAAAGUGGAAAAACCAGUUUUUACAAGGUAUCUCUUAACUGAGUCAGCACAGCCCAUUGCAUGGUAUGAUACACUGGAGAAUGCAGACUUUACCUUCUGGGUUGCUGUGAACUAUGAAAUUUAAUUGGGUAACUGAAAUCAGAGGAGUUUUUUGUUUGUUUUGUUUUGGUUUUGGUACCAGGGAUUGAACUCAUGACCUUGUACUUACUGACAAGUGCUUACACUGCUGAGCUAAAUUCCCAGUCCCAAAUUGAUGGCUCGUAAGCAGUGACAAUUCUGUAUUCCCACACCAAGGGGACAUUCGGCAGUGUAUCACAACGGAAGCAUGGGUGCUCUUAGCACCUGGCUGAUAGAUCAGAGAUGCUGCCAGCGACACUGCAAAUGGGAUUGCGGCAGAGGAUGAGAAACCGCCUCAAAGGAACACCCUUAGCACGAGGUCUGGCAUUUGUUAAGUGCUCAAUAAAUGUUGGUUCACCAUGA